GGCGGACGGGUGAGUAACGCGUGAGUAACCUGCCUUGGAGUGGGGAAUAACACAGUGAAAAUUGUGCUAAUACCGCAUAAUGCAUUUGGAUCGCAUGAUUCUGAAUGCCAAAGAUUUAUCGCUCUGAGAUGGACUCGCGUCUGAUUAGCUAGUUGGCGGGGCAACGGCCCACCAAGGCGACGAUCAGUAGCCGGACUGAGAGGUUGGCCGGCCACAUUGGGACUGAGACACGGCCCAGACUCCUACGGGAGGCAGCAGUGGGGAAUAUUGGGCAAUGGGCGCAAGCCUGACCCAGCAACGCCGCGUGAAGGAAGAAGGCUUUCGGGUUGUAAACUUCUUUUGUCAGGGACGAAGCAAGUGACGGUACCUGACGAAUAAGCCACGGCUAACUACGUGCCAGCAGCCGCGGUAAUACGUAGGUGGCAAGCGUUAUCCGGAUUUACUGGGUGUAAAGGGCGUGUAGGCGGGAAAGCAAGUCAGAUGUGAAAACUGUGGGCUCAACCCACAGCCUGCAUUUGAAACUGUUUUUCUUGAGUACUGGAGAGGCAGAUGGAAUUCCUAGUGUAGCGGUGAAAUGCGUAGAUAUUA
rnacentral:rRNA from 1 species